AAAUUACUUACCACUACUAGAGGUCCUGACUCCUGAAUCAGUUUUCGUUUUUCCCCAAUUCUUGAUUUCCUUACCGUCACAACCGACAGCCAGAGGCAAACCCUUUCUGUGUUCUUCACUUCUUCCCCCAAUUCCUUCCCGUCAAACCAGUCACUUGAGUUCACUGAUUGAGCUAGUAGCUAUAGCGGCGUGAACGGAUUGAAGUGAAUGGUAAACCCACUGGUACGAUUCACCAUUUUUUUUUUCAAGUCUCUCAUUCUCUAAGUCUCUGACUCUCUGUCUGUGAUUUUUUUUGUGUGGUUUUUCAUGUAUAUAUAAAUUAUACAGAUAACCAUUUAUAUAAUGGUCCAAUUUUUGGGUUGUUGUUAAAUUUAGCUUCGGUUUUUAUUUAAUUAUUGUUUAUCGUGCUUUGCCACUUUGGUGUAAUUUAGAUUUCAGAGUGUCAUAUUGUUUAUUGUGCUUUGCCAAUUGGCACUUUCGUGUAAUUCAGUGCCCGAUUACGUGAUUGAAUCAUUGAACCUUCUUGUUUCGAUGAAGCCCAUUUUAUGAUUUUGAUAAUUAGAUAGAUGAUAUUUGUUGUUUUUAUAAUUUUGCUCAUAUGUAUUAUUUGAUUACAAUGCAAACUUGAUGUAGUUAGUAAAAAAGUUAAUAAAUGGCGGAAAGUAAUGGGGGAGAAACAGGUUGGAUAACGAAACUUUAAU
rnacentral:lncRNA from 1 species